rnacentral:tRNA from 1 species
GCAGUCGUGGCCGAGUGGUUAAGGCGAUGGACUCGAAAUCCAUUGGGGUCUCCACGCACAGGCUCGAAUCCUGUUGGCUGCG